rnacentral:rRNA from 1 species
GGAUUAGAUACCCUGGUAGUCCACGCCGUAAACGAUGUGUACUAGUUCGAUGCGGAUCUGACUCCGUGUCGGACGCCGAGAAAUCAUUAAGUACACCGCCUGGGGAGUACGGUCGCAAGGCUAAAACUCAAAGGAAUUGACGGGGGCUCACACAAGCGGUGGAGCAUGUUGCUUAAUUCGAAGCAACGCGAAGAACCUUACCUGGGCUUGACAUGCACGGAUUAGCUUUUGGAAACAUGAGUGACGCCCUCGGGUGGAACGUGCACAGGUGCUGCAUGGCUGUCGUCAGCUCGUGCCG